GGUUUGUUUACAAUAUUACAAUCGACAGCUGUCGUUCCUAACACGGUUUCAUAAUGAUCAAUCGAUAUUCAGACGCAUAUUGUGAUUCUGUUGCUGCUGCGUUUCUAUUAUUGAUUCAUUAAGAUUUUCCGGGCGUUAGAAAGAAGGCGUUGAAAUUAGGCAGAUUGUCUGAAAAAUGAUUAAAGCACAAUUUCUUCCCUUCGCACCCUUUUGACAAUCAGCUGUCCUGCAACUUUUUACACGAGUUACGACGAUAUGGAAUAUCUAAGAUGUCAGCUGAACGAAGUCCAUGCGCAGUACUUUCAUCACGUAUAACAUUAUACAUCCAUACAUGUCUGAUAAUAAGAGAACAAGGAAAAAUUAUGAUAUUUUAACACGUUUACGAUGAAAGAAAAUUGAAUUUCAACGCUUACAACACCUCGGGUUAAAACUAAACCCUCGAGUCUGAUGGGUAGUAAAAUUUUCCGAAUAAUGCGCAAUAGCAUGCGGAGUGAGAAAAUGAGGAAUAUAAAUCACUCACCUCCUCGAUUAUCUCUACAAACACUCGAAUAUUACUCCUCUAGGGGUGGAGGCUUCCCCUUCAUGGUAUCAGGGCUAAUUCCCCGGAGGAAGGGAUCCUGUUACAUGACGCAACCCGGAAACAGCCGCGUCUUAGGCCCGGUUCCCGAGCUGAUGGGGGAUGUUUUCUUACAAGGGAUCCAAGGGAUCGGAAAUCAAAGACCGGAAUCCAGAGCUACCACAGGCCGCAGCCACCACCGACUACCGACUGACGAACCAAGCCGUUUGGAGUCGCGACUACGUCCAACUGCGUCGUCGUCGCGGUAUUUUGGAAUGGUGGUAGUUUCGCGGUGGCGUCGUUGGUCGAUCGCCGUCCCUUUCCUUUUUCCUCGGCGGUGAACCGAUGUCGUUUCUCCUCUUCGUUUCGUCGACGAGACGUCUCGACGCCGGCGUCGUCCCCCUCCGUAAUUUUCCAUCCCUAUUUACCACUUCGCGCAGGGGUCGAUUUCUUUUGUUGUCCUCGACGAUGUAGAAAGGAGCGCCAAACUCCCGAUUAAUCAUCGUGUUGAGGGUAUAGUUAAUUAGUAAUUUGAUUGAAUAAAUAAAUAAAUAACUUGUUUAUCAUUCGGUAACAAUUGGCUUCUUUUUUUCUUAUGCAACUUCGACGUAUUUUUUAAUAUCACCUAUCCGUGUUGGUAAUCAGAACACUCGUUAUGCGGUCAUCUUCAUUUUCGCGAUGCGGGUUAUUUUGUAAUUACAUACACCGAUGAUUUGUCAAAUUUAUCAUUGAACAAAUUGCGCAACAGAUUGAUUCAAGAUGCCAUAUUAUACCAAAGCCAAGUUUGAACAGCUCUGUUGAAUACUCUACGUGAUUUUAAUGUUGAAAACCAACUGGCUGUAUUUAAACGAGCAGCCGCUCUGAGGCGCGAUAAAUUUAUAACGUGAACGUGAGCGAUUUUCGUAAUAUCUUUACUCACACUGAAAUUUUCACUUCUACGGUUUGCCAACUGUUUCGCAGUUUAAAGACAUUGAAAAAUACGACAGAUUAUUGAAACGACAUGUAAUAUAUUGCUGUACAUGGUUGGUAUAGUGUUUGGAAAACCCGAUUUAAUCCUAUUUUGUCUAUCAUUCGUAGCUACUAUGUACACAGCUGUUGCUCCUCCUAGAAUAUUUCACAGAAAAUUCUAUGUACAAUCGUAUAAAUGCAUAAA
rnacentral:lncRNA from 1 species